UCCUACGGGAGGCAGCAGUAGGGAAUAUUGGUCAAUGGGUGCAAGCCUGAACCAGCCAUGCCGCGUGCAGGAAGAAGGCCUUCUGGGUUGUAAACUGCUUUUACCAGGGGAUAAAAAUCUCAUGCGUGAGAAAUUGAAGGUACCUGGUGAAUAAGCCACGGCUAACUACGUGCCAGCAGCCGCGGUAAUA
rnacentral:rRNA from 1 species